CAUUGAGUUUGAUCCUGGCUCAGAUUGAACGCUGGCGGCAUGCCUUACACAUGCAAGUCGAACGGCAGCACGGGUGCUUGCACCUGGUGGCGAGUGGCGAACGGGUGAGUAAUACAUCGGAACAUGUCCUGUAGUGGGGGAUAGCCCGGCGAAAGCCGGAUUAAUACCGCAUACGAUCUACGGAUGAAAGCGGGGGACCUUCGGGCCUCGCGCUAUAGGGUUGGCCGAUGGCUGAUUAGCUAGUUGGUGGGGUAAAGGCCUACCAAGGCGACGAUCAGUAGCUGGUCUGAGAGGACGACCAGCCACACUGGGACUGAGACACGGCCCAGACUCCUACGGGAGGCAGCAGUGGGGAAUUUUGGACAAUGGGCGAAAGCCUGAUCCAGCAGUGCCGCGUGUGUGAAGAAGGCCUUCGGGUUGUAAAGCACUUUUGUCCGGAAAGAAAUCCUUGGCUCUAAUACAGUCGGGGGAUGACGGUACCGGAAGAAUAAGCACCGGCUAACUACGUGCCAGCAGCCGCGGUAAUACGUAGGGUGCGAGCGUUAAUCGGAAUUACUGGGCGUAAAGCGUGCGCAGGCGGUUUGCUAAGACCGAUGUGAAAUCCCCGGGCUCAACCUGGGAACUGCAUUGGUGACUGGCAGGCUAGAGUAUGGCAGAGGGGGGUAGAAUUCCACGUGUAGCAGUGAAAUGCGUAGAGAUGUGGAGGAAUACCGAUGGCGAAGGCAGCCCCCUGGGCCAAUACUGACGCUCAUGCACGAAAGCGUGGGGAGCAAACAGGAUUAGAUACCCUGGUAGUCCACGCCCUAAACGAUGUCAACUAGUUGUUGGGGAUUCAUUUCCUUAGUAACGUAGCUAACGCGUGAAGUUGACCGCCUGGGGAGUACGGUCGCAAGAUUAAAACUCAAAGGAAUUGACGGGGACCCGCACAAGCGGUGGAUGAUGUGGAUUAAUUCGAUGCAACGCGAAAAACCUUACCUACCCUUGACAUGGUCGGAAUCCUGCUGAGAGGCGGGAGUGCUCGAAAGAGAACCGGCGCACAGGUGCUGCAUGGCUGUCGUCAGCUCGUGUCGUGAGAUGUUGGGUUAAGUCCCGCAACGAGCGCAACCCUUGUCCUUAGUUGCUACGCAAGAGCACUCUAAGGAGACUGCCGGUGACAAACCGGAGGAAGGUGGAGAUGACGUCAAGACAACAUGGCCCUUAUGGGUAGGGCUUCACACGUCAUACGAUGGUCGGAACAGAGGGUUGCCAACCCGCGAGGGGGAGCUAAUCCCAGAAAACCGAUCGUAGUCCGGAUUGCACUCUGCAACUCGAGUGCAUGAAGCUGGAAUCGCUAGUAAUCGCGGAUCAGCAUGACGCGGUGAAUACGUUCCCGGGUCUUGUACACACCGCCCGUCACACCAUGGGAGUGGGUUUUACCAGAAGUUGCUAGUCUAACCGCAAGGAGGACGGUCACCACGGUAGGAUUCAUGACUGGGGUGAAGUUGUAAGGAAGGUAA
rnacentral:rRNA from 1 species